GAUGAAGAACGUAGCGAAAUGCGAUAAGUAGUGUGAAUUGCAGAAUUCAGUGAAUCAUCGAAUCUUUGAACGCACAUUGCGCCCCAUGGUAUUCCGUGUGGCAUGCCUGUUCGAGCGUCAUUUACCCCCUCAAGCUCCGCUUGGUGUUGGGCGUCUGUCCCGCUUCGCGCGCGGACUCGCCCCAAAGGUAUUGGCAGCGGUCGUGCCAGCUUCUCGCGCAGCACAUUGCGCUUCUCGAGGCACCGGUGGGCCCGCGUCCAUCAAGCUCACCCCCCCAGUUUGACCUCGGAUCAGGUAGGGAUACCCGCUGAACUUAAGCAUAUCAAUAAGCGGAGGA
rnacentral:misc_RNA from 1 species